ensembl:lncRNA
AGAGAAGGGAGAAGGAACAUUCCAUUGGCAGCGCCUCUUCGGUUCCAGGCCCUUUACACACUUGAGAUACUCCUCGCAGUUGCCUGAUGAGUAAUGUAAUGCUCCCAUUCCUGUGAAUCACAUAAUAUUCCCAUUUUACAGGUGAGGAGAGAGGCUCAAGAGUAAACCCCAGGAGAUCGUGGAGCUUGGAUUCUCACCCUGCUCCUCUGACUCAAAGCAGCAGUUCCCAGUGUGCUCCCAUGGCCCUUAAGGAAAAACUGGAGACUGAUGCUUAUAGGGAGAUAAAUGAAGCAAACCAGGACAUGUUCAUGGACAUGGGAGACCAUGCUCAUUUGGAAAGAGCUCCAUGGUAUAUUGUUAACAGAUGAGGAAGCAGGCCUCACCAGAGGUGAGCAGUGCGUCAGAGAAGGGAGAGGUCACCAGCACCAGGUGUUCAGCCAUGGCGUCCCUAUGUGUUCCGGGCAAGCUGCCUUUAUUUAUCUCACACUUUUUCUAACAACUUCCUUCCAAGGGCAUUCUCAGAUCUUACAACUUCCUUCCAAGGGCAUUUUCAGCAAAGACCACACCCACACUCCCAGUUUCUGGGGCUAAGGGCAUGGUGUCCCUUAAGUUUCCAAAGCAUGAAUUUCCUUAUCUGUAAAAUGGAUUUGUUGUUGUUCAGUUGCUCAGUUGUGUCUGAGUCUUUGCAGCCCCAUACACUGCAGCAUGCCAGGCUUCCCUAUCCUGCACUAUCUUCUGGAGUUUGUUCAAACUCAUGUCCAUUGAGUCAGUGAUGCCACCCAACCAUCUCAUCCUCUGUCGUCCCCUUCUCCUCCUGCCUUCAAUCUUUCCCAGCAUCGGGACCUUUUCCAGUGAGUUGGUUCUUCACAUCAUGUGGCCAAAGUAUUGGAGCUUCAGCAUCAGUCUUUCCAAUGAAUGUUCAAGACUGAUUGCCUUUAGGAUUGACUGGUUUGAUCUCCUUGCAGUCCAAGGGACUCUCAAGAGUCUUCUCCAACAACACAGUUCGAAAGCAUUGAAUGAAAGUAAAAUGGUGAGGGUUAAGAAAACAUUGUUGGUUAAUAGCACUUUGCCAGGUAUGUUCACACAUAGUCUCAUUAAGUCCAAACAAUAAAUUCAUGAAGUAGAUCUUUCAUUCAACUCAGUCAAUAUUGAAUGCGUACUAUGUUCUAAGUAGCUUUAGCCACAGUGAUGCCUCAUGGAGCUUACAUAGUGGGAAGAGACUAUAAAAACAUGAACCACUAAAUAAGGCAGUUUCAAAUUGUGAUAGAUGAUGUAACAAAUGUGAACAAGAGCUAAGGGAAGGUGUUUAGGUUUCUACCUGGAUACAGAUUGUAUAAAUUCAUAGUAUAAGAG